UACGAAGGGGGCUAGCGUUGUUCGGAAUUACUGGGCGUAAAGCGUGCGCAGGCGGCUUCUCAAGUCAGGGGUAGAAAGCCCAGAGCUCAACUCUGGAAUUGCCUUUGAGACUGAGUGGCUUGAGUACGAGAGAGGUGAGUGGAAUUCCCAGUGUAGAGGUGAAAUUCGUAGAUAUUGGGAAGAACACCGGUGGCGAAGGCGGCUCACUGGCUCGUAACUGACGCUCAUGCACGACAGCGUGGGGAUCAAACAGG
rnacentral:rRNA from 1 species